rnacentral:lncRNA from 10 species
CCCAAAUGUUGCAUUUCCCAAGACCACCCUGGCCUGCCACGCCCCCAUCUUGGGCCUAUAAAAACCCGAGGCGCCCUACCCCCAGCAGGUAGACACAAAAAGCGGCUGAGCAUUGUGAGGAACACGUCGGCAGAGGAAGAUACAAGCCACUGGUCAUCGAGGGCACACUGGCAGAAGAGCACGCCAACAGGCACUAGCAGGUCGACAAGCCGGGCCAUAGACUGGUGGAAUGACGCGAAGUUUUCCAGGGGAAAACCAUCUCCCUUCUGGCUCCCCCAUCUGCUAAGAGUUACUUCUACUCAAUAAGACCUUGUACUCAUUCUCUAAGCCCGUGUGUGCUCCAAUUCUCCUGGUACACCAAGGUGCCUCUGGUCACAAGAGCUUCAUCCCAAAUACAAUUGGUGGUGUCUCUCAAGCUGAUUUGGCUGCGCUGGUAAUCUCAGCCAGGAGAAGAGAGCUUGAAAUUGGAUUUGAUAAAAGGACAAACAAGAGAACGUGCAAUGUUAGCAAAGGCAGCAAGUGUGAAACACUUAAUUCUAUUUAUUAAUAAGAUGAAUGAUCCAAGAGCAAAUUGGAGCAAUGAGAGAUAUGAAGAAUAUAAAGAGAAACUAGUGCCAUUUUGAAAAAAGUUGGCUUCACUCCCAAAAACUGCAUUCACUUUAUGCCUGCUCAGGACUAACUGGAGGAAAUUUCAAAGAGCAAUUGAAUUUCUGUACUUAGUACAUUGGAUUACUGUUUAUUACAUAUCUAGGUAAUUUGUCAGACUUCAAUAGAUCAGUUGCUGUACCAAUCAGGCUGCCAAUUUUGGGUAAGUACAAGGAUAUGGGCACUGUUGUCCUGGGAAAGCUGGAAUCAGGCGGUCUGUUUGUAAAGGCCAGCAGCUUGUGAUGAUGCCAGAAAAGCACAAUGUGGAAGGUCUUGGAACACUUGCCAAUGAUGUAGAAGCUGAUACUGUAGCCCCAGAUGAAAAGCUCAAAAUCAGACUGAAAGGAGUUGAAGAAGAGGAAAUUCUUCCAGGAUUAAUACUUUGUGAUGUUAAUAAUCGUGGUCAUUCUGGAGGCACAUUCGGUGCUUAGAUAGUGAUUACAGAGCAUAGAUCUGUCAUCUGCCCAGAAUUUAAUUCAGUGCUGCAAAUUCACACCUGUAUCGAGGAAGUCAAAAUAACAGCCUAAAUCUGCUUGGUAGAUAGAAAAUAAGACUCAACCCUGUUUUGUGAAGCAAGAUCAAGUAUGCAUUGCUCAUUUAAGGAGAGCAGGAACCAUCUGCCUUGAGACCUUUAAAGACUUCCUCAGGUGCGUCAUUUUACCUUAACAGAUGAGGGCAAGACUUGCAAAUGGAAAAGUUCUAAAACUGGUUCCAGAGAAUAACUAAGCAUUUUCUUGACGAUCUUGCACAAUACUGUGAGAAAUAUUGACUGCAAAAAGCCUAUCACAUAUCACCUUCUCUAAUUUUCUGCCCAUUGGUUAACCUCUCCCCAUAUUUACAAAGUGAAAAUUCACAGCAAAAGUCCACAUUGUGUCACUUUCUUAUAUUGAGAGUUCUGCUAUGCCACUGUUGAAUUUUUAAAAUAUUUUCCCUCCUUUUCAUACUCUGCUUCCUUGGAUGGAUUUGGCAAUAGCUUUGUAAGUCAUCUGGACAUAAUUGCCUGUAAUAAUGAAAACCCUACAGCAAUUUGUUUUUCAUUUUCUCCUUAGGCAUACUCAGUACUUUUCCCCCAGGCAGAUCAUUCUGAGUGUGCAAGGAUGUGUGCACAUGUUAGAAAGACAACUACCAUUUUAAUAAAGUAUUCAAUUUGAAAGAAAUAAGAGAAGAUUGAUUAGGACAUAAACGGUUACAGAGGGAUGAACUUGUGAAGACACAGGGCGAAGACGGCCAUCAAUAAGCCAAGGGGAGAAACCUCAGAAAAAAACCAACCAUAUCAACACAUUGACCUUGAACUUCCAG